rnacentral:rRNA from 1 species
GCCAUGGCGGGUGCUAUACUGCAGUCGAGCGAACAGACGAGGAGCUGGCUCCUUUGACGUUAGCGGCGGACGGGUGAGUAACACGUGGGUAACCUACCUAUCUCACUGGGAUGACUUCGGGAAACCGGAGCUAAUACCGGAUAAUAUUUCGAACCGCGUGGUUCGAUAGUGAAAAAUGGCUUUGCUAUCACUUAUAGAUGGACCUGCGCCGUAUUAUGAGGUUGGGAAGGUAACGGGUUACCAAGGCAACGAUACGUAGCCGACCUGACAGGGUGAUCGGCCACACUGGAACUGACACACGGCCCAGACUCCUACGGGAGGCAAAUAUAGGGAAUCGUCCGCAAUGGGGAAAAGCCUGACGGACCAGCGCCACGAGAGUGAUGAAGGUCUUCAGAUCGUAAAACUCUGAUAUUACGGAAGAACAAACGCGUGAGUAACUGUGCACGUCUUGACGGUACCUAAUCACAAAGCCACGGCUAACUACGUGCCAGCAAUCCCGAAAAUACGUACGUGGCAAGCGUUAUCCGGAAUUAUUGGGCGUGAAGCGCGCGUAGGAGGUUUUUUAAGUCUGAUGUGAAAGCCCACGGCUCACCCGUGGAGGGUCAUUUAAAACUGGAAAAGAGGAGUGCAGAAGAGGAAAGUGGAAUUCCAUGUGUAGCGGUGAAAUGCGCAGAGAUAUGGAGGAACACCAGUGGCGAAGGGGACUUUCUGCUGUGUAACUGACCGUGAUGUGCGAAAGCGUGGAGAUCAAACAGGAUUAGAUACCCUGGUAGUCCACGCCGUAAACGAUGAGUGCUAAGUGUUAGGCGGUUUCCGCCCUUUAGUGCUGCAGCUAACGCAUUAAGCACUCCCCCUGGGGAGUACGACCCCAAGGUUGAAACUCAAAGGAAUUGACGGGGACCCGCCCAAGCGGUGGAGCAUGUGGUUUAAUUCGAAGCAACGCGAAGAACCUUACCAAAUCUUGACAUCCUUUGACCCUUCUAGAGAUAGAAGUUUCCCCUUCGGGGGACAAAGUGACAGGUGGUGCAUGUUUGUCGUCAGCUUGUGUCGUGAGAUGUUGGGUUAAGUCCCGCAACGAGCGCAUCCUUUAAGGUUAGUUGCCAUCAUUAAGUUGGGCUCUUUAAGUUGACUGCCGGUGACAUACCGGAGGAAGGUGGGGAUGGCGUCAAAUCCUCAUGCCCCUUAUGAUUUGGGCUACACACGUGCUACAAUGGGCAAUACAAAGGGCAGAGAAACCGAGAGGUCAAGCAAAUCCCAUAAAGUUGUUCUCAGUUGGGAUUGUAGUGCGCAACUCGAUUACAAGAAGCGGGAAUCUAUAUAAUCGUAGAUCAGCAUGCUCCGGGGAAUACGUUCCCGGUUCUUGUCCCCCCCGCCCGUCACUCCACGAGAGUGGGUACCCCGGAAGCCGGUGGAGUACCCAUUGGAGCUAGCCGUCGAACGUGAUUCAAUGG